rnacentral:rRNA from 1 species
AGAGUUUGAUCAUGGCUCAGGAUGAACGCUAGCGGCAGGCCUAAUACAUGCAAGCUGAACGGUAAAUAUUGUAGCAAUACAAUAUGAGAGUAGCGUAAGGGUGCGUAACACGUAUGCAAUCUGCCCUGUACAGGAGGAUAGCUCGGCGAAAGCCGGAUUAAUACUCCGUAAUAUUGAGUUUUGGCAUCAAGAUUCGAUUAAAGUCGCAAGAUGGUACAGGAUGAGCAUGCGUCUGAUUAGCUAGUUGGUGGUGUAACGGACCACCAAGGCGAUGAUCAGUAGGGGAACUGAGAGGUUGAUCCCCCACACUGGCACUGAGAUACGGGCCAGACUCCUACGGGAGGCAGCAGUAGGGAAUAUUGGUCAAUGGAUGGAAGUCUGAACCAGCCAUGCCGCGUGCAGGAAGAAGGCCUUCUGGGUUGUAAACUGCUUUUGCCGGGGGAUAAAAUUCCCAUGCGUGGGACAUUGAAGGUACCCGGUGAAUACGCCACGGCUAACUACGUGCCAGCAGCCGCGGUAAUACGUAGGUGGCAAGCGUUGUCCGGAUUUAUUGGGUUUAAAGGGUGCGUAGGCGGCCUAUUAAGUCAGUUCUGAAAUAUCCCGGCUUAACCGGGAGGGUGGGAUUGAUACUGAUGGGCUUGAGUGGACUCGAGGUAGGCGGAAUUGACGGUGUAGCGGUGAAAUGCUUAGAUAUCGUCAAGAACACCGAUAGUGUAGACAGCUUACUAGAUUUCAACUGACGCUGAGGCACGAAAGUGUGGGGAUCAAACAGGAUUAGAUACCCUGGUAGUCCACACUGUAAACGUUGAUUACUCGCUGUGUGCGAUAUACAGUACGCGGCUUAGCGAAAGCGAUAAGUAAUCCACCUGGGGAGUACGCCGGCAACGGUGAAACUCAAAGGAAUUGACGG